GCAGGAGGAAGAUACAUUAACUCUGCAGGCUUCUACUACAGAGAGGAGAUGGGGAGAGAGAAAAACAGAAUCUAACUCUGCCAGGGAGAAAGAGAAAAAGGACAUGGACAGCUCCACCAACAAAACGUCUGUCUGUGGAAAAGUGAAGAUUGUGAGGCUUUGUGCGAACACGACGUAAAGUGAAGUGCUCUUCUGGCCUGAGCAUCAUGCAGACUGGUAUGACUGAUAAAGGACGCACGUGGUAGCUGAGGCUCUAGCUGCAUGGCUCCCCUCC